rnacentral:snoRNA from 10 species
AAAGCAUCUCAAACAGGUUGUGGUCUCUGCUCAGUAGACCAGGAUUUGGUAGCUGGUGCUAGAAUCAUCUCUCUCUCUACAACACUCACUGGCUGCUGCAGGGCCUGCUGGGAGGUUAGAGACAGGAACACAA